rnacentral:rRNA from 1 species
CCUACGGGAGGCAGCAGUAGGGAAUAUUGCUCAAUGGGGGAAACCCUGAAGCAGCAACGCCGCGUGGAGGAUGAAGGUUUUAGGAUUGUAAACUCCUUUUGUGAGAGAAGAUAAUGACGGUAUCUCACGAAUAAGCACCGGCUAACUCCGUGCCAGCAGCCUCUUUAAUACUUAUUUUGCAAUCUUUACUCGGAAUCACUGGUCGUAAAGAGUGCGCAGGCGGGCUUGUAAGUAAGAUGUGAAAUCCUGUAGCUUAACUACAGAACUGCAUUUGAAACUAUGAGUCUAGAGUGUGGGAGAGGGAGGUGGAAUUAUUGGUGUAGGGGUAAAAUAAGUAGAUAGAAAGAGGAAUAAUAAUUGAGAAGGAGAAAUAAUGGAAAAGGAAGGAAGAUAAUGAAAGAAAGAGUGGGGAGAAAAAAGGAUUAGAUAAAAAAGUAGGC